rnacentral:rRNA from 1 species
GACGAACGCUGGCGGCGUGCCUAACACAUGCAAGUCGAGCGAUGAAAUCCUUCGGGAUGGAUUAGCGGCGGACGGGUGAGUAACGCGUGGGCAACCUGCCUCAUACAGGGGGAGUAACAGUUAGAAAUAGACUGCUAAUACCGCAUAAGACCACAGUACCGCAUGGUAUGGUGGUAAAACUACCGGUGGUAUGAGAUGGGGCCGCUCUGAUAGGUAGUGGUGGGGUAACGGCCUACCAAGCCGACGAUCAGUAGCCGACCUGAGAGGGUGACCGGCCACAUUGGGACUGAGACACGGCCCAAACUCCUACGGGAGGCAGCAGUGGGGAAUAUUGCACAAUGGGGGAAACCCU